UUCGUAUGGUGAGUAAGUCGCGGAGCUCAAACAACAACUAACAGAGCAAGGCGUAUGAAAUUUGGUUGAUUGGCAGCUAUUGUACAGACAUGUUAAUUUGAUUUGGAAGUUUGAAGUGAGGAUUGUGGACCACUGGACCUUGACAUAUCUCAUUAGCUUGCAUGGAUCAAUGGAUCAACAUACUUUCCAGUUAUUUGUUCGAGCUCCCGGUGCCUACUCCAACUAAUAUUGAUGAGAUCAAGGGCGUGAUGUGGAUUUGACACAUAUGUUGGAGCGUGUUACGUUAGAAUCAUGCUUUGGGUGAUUUUUUUUUUUGAGGGGAUGCUUUGGGUGAUAUUUCACGGAGCAUAAAGACACAACUUAGAAAAAUGUAGGUGGUCGUAUGAAAUGGUUUAAUGCUAUAGUUGUAGCAGGACUUAAUUUUAUAUGUGUUUAGUUCUAAAUUUUUGUUGUAAAAUAUUGUAUAUAAUACUAAUUAUUAUGGUAAUUUUGUUUUGAUGCUUCCCUUUUGGUGUGUGUGUGCGCUACUGUUUUUUUUUUUUAUUUAAAAUAUAGCUGAAAAGAGACCCGUUAUCUAUAAGCAUAGGUCUUUCGAUUUUCAAAAUAAAAAAAAAUUUAAAAUGUCAAAGAGACCCCCUUUCUUCAAUAUAGGGUUUGAAUUUUUCUAACAAAGAGACCC